UACGUAGGGUGCAAGCGUUGUCCGGAAUUAUUGGGCGUAAAGAGCUCGUAGGCGGUCUGUCGCGUCUGCUGUGAAAACUCAGGGCUUAACCCUGAGCUUGCAGUGGGUACGGGCAGACUAGAGUGCGGUAGGGGAGACUGGAAUUCCUGGUGUAGCGGUGAAAUGCGUAGAUAUCAGGAGGAACACCGAUGGCGAAGGCAGGUCUCUGGGCAUUAACUGACGCUGAGGAGCGAAAGCAUGGGGAGCGAACAGG
rnacentral:rRNA from 1 species